GAUAUAAUAGGACAAGCUAUAAUCCGUAGACCUUCAAAGUCUGAAAUAAUCUUGUGGAUUUUAUGUUG
rnacentral:tRNA from 1 species